GGUCACUGCUAUCGGGGUUCGAUUAAGCCAUGCGAGUUGAGAGGGUUUAGACCCUCGGCGGACUGCUCAGUAACACGUGGAUAACCUGCCCUAAGGUGGAGGAUAACUCCGGGAAACUGGAUAUAAUACUCCAUAGAUUAGAGAAACUGGAAUGUUUUCUAGUCGAAAGUUCCGGCGCCUUAGGAUGGAUCUGCGGCCGAUUAGGUAGUUGUUGGGGUAGAGGCCCAACAAGCCUGUAAUCGGUACGGGUUGUGGGAGCAAGAGCCCGGAGAUGGAAUCUGAGACACGAUUCCAGGCCCUACGGGGCGCAGCAGGCGCGAAAACUUUACAAUGCAGGAAACUGUGAUAAGGGAACCCCGAGUGCUCGUAUACGCGAGCUGUCCAGGUGUGCAAAAAGCAUCUGAAGAAAGGGCCGGGCAAGACCGGUGCCAGCCGCCGCGGUAAUACCGGCGGCUCGAGUGGUGGCCACUAUUAUUGGGCUUAAAGCGUUCGUAGCUGGAUCUUUAAGUCUCUUGGGAAAUCCGCCGGCUUAACCGGCGGGCGUUCAAGAGAUACUGGAGAUCUAGGAACCGGGAGAGGUGAGAGGUACUCCGGGGGUAGGAGUGAAAUCCUGUAAUCCUCGGGGGACCACCUAUGGCGAAGGCAUCUCACCAGAACGGCUUCGACAGUGAGGAACGAAAGCUGGGGGAGCGAACCGGAUUAGAUACCCGGGUAGUCCCAGCCGUAAACGAUGCGCGUUAGGUGUACUGGUGACCACGAGUCACCAGGGUGCCGAAGGGAAACCAUGAAACGUGCCGCCUGGGAAGUAUGGUCGCAAGGCUGAAACU
rnacentral:rRNA from 1 species